ACGCUGGCGGCAGGCCUAACACAUGCAAGUCGAGCGGUAGAGAGAAGCUUGCUUCUCUUGAGAGCGGCGGACGGGUGAGUAAUGCCUAGGAAUCUGCCUGGUAGUGGGGGAUAACGUUCGGAAACGGACGCUAAUACCGCAUACGUCCUACGGGAGAAAGCAGGGGACCUUCGGGCCUUGCGCUAUCAGAUGAGCCUAGGUCGGAUUAGCUAGUUGGUGGGGUAAUGGCUCACCAAGGCGACGAUCCGUAACUGGUCUGAGAGGAUGAUCAGUCACACUGGAACUGAGACACGGUCCAGACUCCUACGGGAGGCAGCAGUGGGGAAUAUUGGACAAUGGGCGAAAGCCUGAUCCAGCCAUGCCGCGUGUGUGAAGAAGGUCUUCGGAUUGUAAAGCACUUUAAGUUGGGAGGAAGGGCAGUUGCCUAAUACGUAGCUGUUUUGACGUUACCGACAGAAUAAGCACCGGCUAACUCUGUGCCAGCAGCCGCGGUAAUACAGAGGGUGCAAGCGUUAAUCGGAAUUACUGGGCGUAAAGCGCGCGUAGGUGGUUUGUUAAGUUGGAUGUGAAAUCCCCGGGCUCAACCUGGGAACUGCAUUCAAAACUGACUGACUAGAAUAUGGUAGAGGGUGGUGGAAUUUCCUGUGUAGCAGUGAAAUGCGUAGAGAUCGGGAGGAACAUCCAUGGCGAAGGCAGCUACCUGGACCAACACUGACACUGAGGCACGAAAGCGUGGGGAGCAAAC
rnacentral:rRNA from 1 species